GUCCUCGUAGCAUAGCCGGAUAAUGCAAUCGCCUCCUAAGCGAUAGAUCGGGUGUUCGAAUCACCUCGAGGACGCCA
rnacentral:tRNA from 1 species